rnacentral:misc_RNA from 1 species
GAUGAAGAACGCAGCGAAAUGCGAUAAGUAAUGCGAAUUGCAGAAUUCAGUGAAUCAUCGAAUCUUUGAACGCACAUUGCGCCCCCUGGUAUUCCGGGGGGCAUGCCUGUUCGAGCGUCAUUUCACCACUCAAGCCUCGCUUGGUAUUGGGCGACGCGGUCCGCCGCGCGCCUCAAAUCGACCGGCUGGGUCUUCCGUCCCCUCAGCGUUGUGGAAACUAUUCGCUAAAGGGUGCCGCGGGAGGUCACGCCGCAAAACAACCCCAUUUCUAAGGUUGACCUCGGAUCAGGUAGGGAUACCCGCUGAACUUAAGCAUAUCAAUAAGCGGAGGA